AGUCAGGUCCAACCAUUAAAUGAUAGGGUUAAGUCUAAUCAACUAAUAGAUGACCAAGCCCGAGUGUAGCUCGACUCACCUGACCGCCUAUUGAAGGUACACUUAACUCAUCAUAUAUUGAAUGACAAUUCCAAUGCUUGAUAAGUACCAGGCGUGUAGCACCUCCAAUAAUUAUCAAAACAUUGGACCCAUUAUCACCCAACUUAAUGGAAGGCUAUGAUCUAGUUAUCUCCAUAACCAUUCAUUUUAAGAACCUAAUAAUUUUAGAGGAUUUCAUAAUUAGGAUAGAUGAGAAGAUCCGGUUAGUC
rnacentral:lncRNA from 1 species